AACGAACGCUGGCGGCAUGCCUAACACAUGCAAGUCGAACGAACCCUUCGGGGUGAGUGGCGCACGGGUGCGUAACACGUGGGAACCUGCCCUUAGGUUCGGAAUAACACAGAGAAAUUUGUGCUAAUACCGGAUAAUGUCUUCGGACCAAAGAUUUAUCGCCUUUGGAUGGGCCCGCGUAGGAUUAGCUAGUUGGUGAGGUAAAGGCUCACCAAGGCGACGAUCCUUAGCUGGUCUUAGAGGAUGAUCAGCCACACUGGGACUGAGACACGGCCCAGACUCCUACGGGAGGCAGCAGUGGGGAAUAUUGGACAAUGGGCGAAAGCCUGAUCCAGCAAUGCCGCGUGAGUGAUGAAGGCCUUAGGGUUGUAAAGCUCUUUUACCUGGGAUGAUAAUGACAGUACCAGGAGAAUAAGCCCCGGCUGACUCCGUGCCAGCCGCCGCCGUAACAC
rnacentral:rRNA from 1 species